rnacentral:rRNA from 1 species
GAUGAACGCUAGCUACAGGCUUAACACAUGCGAGUCGAGGGGCAGCAUGGUCUUAGCUUGCUAAGGCCGAUGGCGACCGGCGCACGGGUGAGUAACACGUAUCCAACCUGCCGUCUACUCUUGGACAGCCUUCUGAAAGGAAGAUUAAUACAAGAUGGCAUCAUGAGUCCGCAUGUUCACAUGAUUAAAGGUAUUCCGGUAGACGAUGGGGAUGCGUUCCAUUAGAUAGUAGGCGGGGUAACGGCCCACCUAGUCUUCGAUGGAUAGGGGUUCUGAGAGGAAGGUCCCCCACAUUGGAACUGAGACACGGUCCAAACUCCUACGGGAGGCAGCAGUGAGGAAUAUUGGUCAAUGGGCGAGAGCCUGAACCAGCCAAGUAGCGUGAAGGAUGACUGCCCUAUGGGUUGUAAACUUCUUUUAUAAAGGAAUAAAGUCGGGUAGGGAUACCCGUUUGCAUGUACUUUAUGAAUAAGGAUCGGCUAACUCCGUG